CCACCGGUUCGAUUCGACAACCGAACCGGUGGCAAUAAUAUCCCCUCCGGUUCAAAACCGGUGGCUUACUAAUAUAAAAAAAAAAAACGGCCCUUUAAAUACCCCAAACCCUACAAUUUCACCCACCAUCAGUUGUUUCACACCCACCUCCCCUCAUUCUCUUUCUCUUUCCUCGAUCAGUUUUCACACCCUCAUCCUCUCUCCUCGUUCAGCUCGGAUCCCCUCUUCCCUCUUCUCCUUCAUCCUCUCCUCCUUAUAUUUCUCUCUCCUCUCUCCCCUCUCCUCCUUCUCUUUCUCAUCUUCUUUGAUCUACACCACCACCGAUUUUUCCACCACCUCGAAGACCACCACCGCAACAAUAACAUCACCACCGCAACAAUAACACCACGAACACAUGCAUGAGCAACAAUGACUUUAAUCGAGGUAUAUUGAUUUAGAUCUUAAAUCGAAGAAUCAUGAUGCAGGAAUAUUGUUUUUUAUGUUGUAUGGGGUUUUUUGUGAUUUUGAUGCUGUAACUUUUUUUUAUUUAUAUGUUGUAAUUGAUCAAUUUUAUUGAUUUAUAUUGUAAAUAAAAUUUCGAUUAUAUAGAUUGAUAUUGUUUGAUUUAUA